rnacentral:piRNA from 1 species
ACAGCAGAUCGAAUAAUAAGAG